AUACGUAGGUGGCAAGCGUUGUCCGGAUUUACUGGGCGUAAAGGGUGCGCAGGUGGAUAUUUAAGUGAGAUGUGAAAUCCCCGAGCUUAACUUGGGGCCUGCAUUUCAAACUGGAUAUCUAGAGUGCAGGAGAGGAGAAUGGAAUUCCUAGUGUAGCGGUGAAAUGCGUAGAGAUUAGGAAGAACACCAGUGGCGAAGGCGAUUCUCUGGACUGUAACUGACACUGAGGCACGAAAGCGCGGGUAGC
rnacentral:rRNA from 1 species